UCCUCACUAGUAUAUCGGUUAGUAUAUUCGCCUCUCAAAAGAGAGAGCCCAGAAACAAGUCUUGGCAUCACCGCGAAAGAGCAGGGUUCAACUCCCUGGUGGGGAA